UUGAUUCAUUUUCUUGUGAGACUCAGAAUAUGCCACUAUAAUACAAGAGUUUGGGUCCCCCGGCGGGCGCCUGGUUCCGGCGGCCCUCGCGGGCCUUCCGGGGCGUUAACCCGCCGAAGCAACAGUAAAGGUAUAAGUUCACAGGGGUUUGGGAGUAGAAUAACUCGGUAAUGAUCCCUCCGCUGGUUCACCAACGGAGA
rnacentral:misc_RNA from 1 species